UGGGGAAUAUUGCACAAUGGGCGCAAGCCUGAUGCAGCCAUGCCGCGUGUGUGAAGAAGGACUUCGGGUUGUAAAGCACUUUCAGCGGGGAGGAAGGCGUUAAGGUUAAUAACCUUGGCGAUUGACGUUACCCGCAGAAGAAGCACCGGCUAACUCCGUGCCAGCAGCCGCGGUAAUACGGAGGGUGCAAGCGUUAAUCGUAAUUACUGGGCGUAAAGCGCACGCAGGCGGUCUGUCAAGUCGGAUGUGAAAUCCCCGGGCUAAACCUGGGAACUGCAUUCGAAACUGGCAGGCUAGAGUCUUGUAGAGGGGGGUAGAAUUCCAGGUGUAGCGGUGAAAUGCGUAGAGAUCUGGAGGAAUACCGGUGGCGAAGGCGGCCCCCUGGACAAAGACUGACGCUCAGGUGCGAAAGCGUGGGGAGCAAACAGG
rnacentral:rRNA from 1 species